rnacentral:tRNA from 1 species
GUCUUGGUAGCUUAAACAAAGCACUGGUCUUGUAAUCCAAAGACUGGAGGUUAAACCCUCCCCUCAGACC